AUUGAACGCUGGCGGCAUGCCUUACACAUGCAAGUCGAACGGCAGCACGGGAGCUUGCUCCUGGUGGCGAGUGGCGAACGGGUGAGUAAUACAUCGGAACGUACCCAGGAGUGGGGGAUAACGUAGCGAAAGUUACGCUAAUACCGCAUAUUCUGUGAGCAGGAAAGCGGGGGAUCGCAAGACCUCGCGCUCUUGGAGCGGCCGAUGUCGGAUUAGCUAGUUGGUGAGGUAAAAGCUCACCAAGGCGACGAUCCGUAGCAGGUCUGAGAGGAUGAUCUGCGACACUGGGACUGGGACACGGCCCAGACUCCUACGGGAGGCAGCAGUGGGGAAUUUUGGACAACGGGGGCAACCCUGAUCCAGCCAUGCCGCGUGAGUGAAGAAGGCCUUCGGGUUGUAAAGCUCUUUCGGCGGGGAAGAAAUGGCAACGGCUAAUAUCCGUUGUUGAUGACGGUACCCGCAUAAGAAGCACCGGCUAACUACGUGCCAGCCGCCGCAGUAAAAC
rnacentral:rRNA from 1 species